CAGAAAAUGUGCUUUGAUAAAGGCAGUUGGUGUCUUAUUAAAGAAAACUAGUGAAUUAAAGAGUUUGGGACCAUAAAUGGAGAAGCUUACCGAAGAUAGGGCCUUUCAAGUGAAGGAGAGUAAGGAAAGAAGUAGGGGUAUUCCAAGACGUGAAGAAUCCUGUCCUUAGUGUGGAAUUCAAGAUAUUGAUCAACUAUUCCCAUAAGAAGAAGCAUUUGCCUCCAGGGUACCAUGGACGUGUGGCAAUAUAAAUCCAAAGGACAAUUGAAGCCUAGAUAAAAGUCACUUUCCUGCACAUUCAGUCUUAGAAUACAUUGUUUGCUAACAAUAGGACUCAAACUGAUU